rnacentral:rRNA from 1 species
GACGAACGCUGGCGGCGCGCUUAACACAUGCAAGUCGAACGGAAAGGCCCUGCUUUUGUGGGGUGCUCGAGUGGCGAACGGGUGAGUAACACGUGAGUAACCUGCCCUUGACUUUGGGAUAACUUCAGGAAACUGGGGCUAAUAACGGAUAGGAGCUCCUGCUGCAUGGUGGGGGUUGGAAAGUUUCGGCGGUUGGGGAUGGACUCGCGGCUUAUCAGCUUGUUGGUGGGGUAGUGGCUUACCAAGGCUUUGACGGGUAGCCGGCCUGAGAGGGUGACCGGCCACAUUGGGACUGAGAUACGGCCCAGACUCCUACGGGAGGCAGCAGUGGGGAAUAUUGCACAAUGGGCGGAAGCCUGAUGCAGCAACGCCGCGUGCGGGAUGACGGCCUUCGGGUUGUAAACCGCUUUCGCCUGUGACGAAGCGUGAGUGACGGUAAUGGGUAAAGAAGCACCGGCUAACUACGUG